rnacentral:rRNA from 1 species
UCAUAGCGAGGAAAGAGACUAACAAGGAUUCCCCUAGUAACUGCGAGUGAAGCGGGAAAAGCUCAAAUUUAAAAUCUGGUGGUCUUUGGCCAUCCGAGUUGUAAUUUAGAGAAGCGUCUUCCGCGCUGGACCGUGCACAAGUCUCCUGGAAUGGAGCGUCAUAGAGGGUGAGAAUCCCGUCUUUGGCACGGACGCACCAGGGCUUUUGCGAUGCGCUCUCGAAGAGUCGAGUUGUUUGGGAAUGCAGCUCAAAAUGGGUGGUGAACUCCAUCUAAAGCUAAAUAUUGGCGAGAGACCGAUAGCGAACAAGUACCGUGAGGGAAAGAUGAAAAGCACUUUGGAAAGAGAGUGAAACAGUACGUGAAAUUGUUGAAAGGGAAACGCUUGAAGUCAGUCGCGUCGACCGAGACUCAGCCUCGCCUUGGCUUGGUGUACUUCUCGGCCGACGGGUCAGCAUCAAUUUUGGCUUUUGGAUAAUGGCGGGGGAAAUGUGACACCAUUGCGGUGUGUUAUAGUCUCUCGUCGCAUGCAAGGGUCGGGAUUGAGGAACUCAGCACGCGCCUUCGGGUGUCGGGGUUUUUGCCCACGAUACGUGCUUAGGAUGUUGGCGUAAUGGCUUUAAACGACCCGUCUUGAAACACGGACCAAGGAGUCCAACAUGCCUGCGAGUGUUCGGGUGGAAAACCCGUGCGCGCAAUGAAAGUGAAAGUUGGGACCUCUGUCGUGGAGGGCACCGACGCCCGGACCAGACCUUCUGUGACGGCUCUGCGGUAGAGCAUGCAUGUUGGGACCCGAAAGAUGGUGAACUAUGCCUGAAUAGGGUGAAGCCAGAGGAAACUCUGGUGGAGGCUCGUAGCGAUUCUGACGUGCAAAUCGAUCGUCAAAUUUGGGUAUAGGGGCGAAAGACUAAUCGAACCAUCUAGUAGCUGGUUCCUGCGAGUUUC